rnacentral:rRNA from 2 species
AAUGACCGCGGAUCAGGUGAGGAUACCCGCUGAAUUUAAGCAUAUCA